CCGACAUCUUCACAUGAGCAAAAAAGGGUUCUUCCAAGUGAACCCUAAACUCACAAAUUGGAUCAAAAUCAAGGGAAAUCAAGCCAAGAUUUUGGGGGUUUAACUAAAUUCGUGAUCACCAAGCUUAGGAGAUCACAAGUUGACUCUAAACAAGCUAGGUGAGAGCUUGGAAAGGAACGGGUCAAACAGAUCAUGGAUGCGAAGAAUGUUUGCGCGGACGCGAGGGUAAAACGGCUUAUGGAAUUUACGUGGCUAUGAAUCAGCAAAUUAUUAAGGCAAGGUAUUAAAACGGGUCAAUACUUUGACCCGAGCCAGGUGAACGUUAUGGGUCUCCGGAUGACGAUCAAGCGAAGAACAAGAACCGAACACACGACUAAACAAAGCUUCCGCAUUUGAUCUUGUUUGUUUAUACAAAGUGUAUUAUGUAAACACUCUUAACUAUGUUUGAAUGUUUUAAACAUGUCUAAUUACUUUCAAUGUAAAAGUUUUUAUUAAGUGGCAUUUUUCUUAUAAAAUGCUUACUUUAA